CGUGUGUGGGCCCGAGGCGGGGGCGCUAGCGCGGGGUCCCGGGGCUCUCAAAAAGGGAGGACUGAGGUAAAAAAAAAGAAAAAAAGAAGAAAGAAAGAAAGAGAGAAAAAAGAAAAAGAAAAAAAGAAAAGGAAAGGGGAAAAAAGAAGCCGCCCCGGUGCCUUCGCGAGCCUUGGCCGCGUGUCCAGGAGCCCCUCAGACCCACCCGAUGAUGUGGGCGUCGGGGGCUGAAGAGAAGCCGGCAGCUUCCCCGGGGCGGCUUCGGAGCUUCCGGCUCGGCGCGACGCCUCGCUCUGCGGCCACCGCCGUCCCCGUGGGGAGGGACACCCCCACUUCCCAAGCGAGGAAAGUGAGGAGGAGCCCCGGGAGGAACUCAACCCAGGGCUGCCGUCGAGAGACCCCCGCGGGCUGCGAGGGCCUCCUCGUCAAGACCGCGGUCGCCUCGCCCUGAAGACGGGAAGGAGACGCACGACGACCGCCCCCCCCCCCACCCCGGGCCGCCCGCCGCGUGCACGUCCACCUCCCCGGUCCCCAGCGCCACCCGCCGCGGUGGGCAAGACUUCUGAGGUCCGCGGGGACCGGAAACGCGCGCCAGACGCCACUGCGCGGAGGGGGCGCGCGCACACCGCCUCCGCCGAGGGCACGGCGCGGGGGCCGGCGUCACGAGGCCACCGGCGGAGCUCUCCGUGCUGGUCGGGCGACAGCCCAGCAGGUGGUGAACUUACUCAGCAAGCCCUGGGCUCCGCAGGUCCAUCGGAGCGCAGCCAUCCCGGAGAUAGCGCGGAGGAAAGCCGGGCCCCACCCUCGUAAGCCGGCUGCCCGCAGGUUCAGCUUCCCAGGGUGAGGCCGCUGCCCUCACAUUCUUGGGAGAGCCCGGAUUUGGACAGAAACCCCAAAAGGCAGGAGGAGCCAGUUUGUUUCAAAAUCUUGGCUGUGGCUUGCCAACAAGUUCAGAGAGAUUUUGAUGCACAGCUACAGACCGAGCUGGUUUACUGCACAUUAUAAAUGGAAACUUUAUUUUUUUCUCGGUGUUUUUAAGAAAUCUGGUGGCAAGGUCAUUAAUCACAUUAUCCAUUAUACCAGAAACGAAAUGGAUUUGUCGCUUGUGCACAGAAGCUGAGGUUGAUUCUGAAAACAAAUUGUAUCAAACUAAAUGAAAUUAUUAUGAUAAUAUAAAGUAGACUGCAGUGAUUAAUCUCCAGAAACCAAAUUUUGACCUGCUUUGCACUUCAAACAAUAGUUUUCUGUUAUGUAAAUACUUGUGGGGUUUUCAAGGACUAUGUAAAUUACAAGAAAAGUUCUAUUCAUGAAAAUCUUUUUAUGGAUAAACAUCAAGAGACAGAAAACCUGGUCUAUACAACUACUAAAGCAAAGGACAGUGGAAGUGAUGGUGGUUCAGGUCAGAAGCAAGACAUUCACGAGAAGCAUUGAAAAAUGAGGCCACAAAGAACCAUUCGUACCAGAUAGAGGCCCUGCUGGCAACUUUCCAACCAUCAUCCGCCAACGAUGGUGUUUCCAUGAAGUACAUCUCCAUCUUCACUCUCAGGGAGCAAGAUGCCCCCAACGCCAGCUAGCCCACCCCAUCACUUCUUCCCUGUGGCCAGGCCCUUCUGGGUCUCAGUGAUGACCAUGAGUCUUGGUGGCUCAGAGGUAGGCUUGGGUAUCAGACUCCAGUGUUCAAAUCCCCGCUCUGCCACCUACCAGCUGGUGACCUUGGGCAGGCAAGAAACUUAAGUUCUCCGAGCUCCCAUUUCAUCAUUGGCACGUCCUCUGCAGGGUCGGUCUCGAUCAGCUACAAUGGCUCACGUGACGUGUUUAGCACAGUGUCCAGGCCAUGGAACAUUCCUCAGAAAUGCAAACUGUCAGUAUUGCCUUCAUGGCUAGGACAAGUGCUGUUAAUCAGGCGGGACCGUGAUCACAUGCUGGUCUGACAUACAUGAGCCUAGACAUACAUACCAAGCUAGAACCAGAGAUGUCAGUCACAGUUUAGACCAGUGACACUCUGAGGAAUGGGGUAUUGAUUACUGGCUUGUGUCCACUAACAGCAGCUCUCCAUUUGUGCCGUAUCCAUGCCCACCUGCGCCUGCUGGCACCAUUCCACAGCCCUGGGAGGAGGCUGGAGAGGCAGCUGUCAGUCAUUAGGCAGACAAGCCACAGAGAGGACUUCCCCAGGUCACACAUAUGUGCAGGGCAGAUGUGGGUGCCAGCCAACCUGGCCCGGGUUCCACCCCUCUGAGCUCUGACAUUGGGUUUUUCUGCCUUCUAGCCUCUCACACCUGCAUGGGCGGACUCUGGGACCCUCUCUGUGGAUGGCUUCACCAUACCUCCUUAAUUUGGGGUCCCAGUGUUUCCUGGGGAGACCUUGGGGAGGUUCAGGGGGCUUUUUAAAAACUGUUUUUACUUUUGUCAACUAUCACUCAAUUCUGUGAAAACCCCUUUUUUAGCUGGGGGUGGUGGGGCAGCACGGGGCACGCGAGAGGGGAGCUGUACAUAUCUUGCCGUAUUACCAGUGACCUUCAGCAGAGGACAAGGCUCACCAGUGUGCCCAGCCCCCCUUGGGCCUGAAGCAGUCCCACACUUUGGGCCUGUUCCCAUCCAUGUCAUCUGUCCAUGCAGCUGGGGGCACGAAGGACUGCCAGCCAUGGGGGAGCUCCAGGCCUCCCUCCUGGAUUUGGAGCACAUGAUGGAUGGAUUUGGAUGUGUGCUCAAAUCACAAUCGCCCAAAACAAUUGAUAACUUUUCCCUUUCAUCAAACUGUAAUGUGCACCCACAAUGGGUUGUAUGCCUUAAAGACACAGCUGAAACGAACCUACCCGUUCCCUGCCCUCAUGGAGAGACAGACGACAAACCCCAGGCAAGUAAUUGAGAAGACGUUGGGUGUGAGGUAUGCGUGCAGGGUAUUACAACAAGAUGACAUCAUGGAAAGUGCCCCGAUGCCCACUUCAGAUGGGCUAUCACGAACGCUCAACAUUUAGAGGGCAGCCACGCUGCAAAGGGAACAUCUGAAGGAUCCAAGCAUGUGAAUUUCAGGGAGAUGAACAUUUCAGGUGGGGAGAAGAACCCAUGCAAAGGUCCUGAGGCAGGAAUGAGUUUGCCAUGCUGAGAAAACAGAGGAGGACCAGAGCUGCUGAAUUGUUGAGACCAGGGCAGAGAGGAUUCUGCAAGGUAUGGUUACAAACCCAUCUCCAGCAGAUGAAGCCAGGGUCUGAGAUUAUGCUCUGCCACUUUGCAUUUGAGGCACUUUAGACAAGCCCCUUAGCCACCAAGCCUCAUGUGGCCCAAAAAGGGCAUGCCCUGUGUGGACACCAACCGCAUGUUGCUGUCGCCCCGCAUCAGGACUCUCCAGA